UCCCCGCCUUGAUGGAAUGUGAAUCGUAA
rnacentral:piRNA from 1 species